GCAUAUCAAUAAGCGGAGGAAAAGAAACCAACCGGGAUUGCCUCAGUAACGGCGAGUGAAGCGGCAAGAGCUCAAAUUUGAAAUCUGGCCCCUCCGGGGUCCGAGUUGUAAUUUGCAGAGGAUGCUUCGGGUGCGGCCCCUGUCUAAGUGCCCUGGAACGGGCCGUCAGAGAGGGUGAGAAUCCCGUCUUGGGCAGGGUGCCCGUGCCCGUGUGAAGCUCCUUCGACGAGUCGAGUUGUUUGGGAAUGCAGCUCUAAAUGGGUGGUAAAUUUCAUCUAAAGCUAAAUACCGGCCGGAGACCGAUAGCGCACAAGUAGAGUGAUCGAAAGAUGAAAAGCACUUUGAAAAGAGAGUUAAACAGCACGUGAAAUUGUUGAAAGGGAAGCGCUUGCGACCAGACUCGGCCCUGGGGUUCAGCCAGCACUCGUGCUGGUGUACUUCCCCAGGGGCGGGCCAGCGUCGGUUUGGGCGGCCGGUCAAAGGCCCCAGGAAUGUAUCACCCUCCGGGGUUGUCUUAUAGCCUGGGGUGCAAUGCGGCCAGCCCGGACCGAGGAACGCGCUUCGGCACGGACGCUGGCGUAAUGGUCGCAAACGACCCGUCUUGAAACACGGACCAAGGAGUCUAACAUCUACGCGAGUGUUCGGGUGUCAAACCCGUACGCGCAGUGAAAGCGAACGGAGGUGGGAGCCCCCCCGGGGCGCACCAUCGACCGAUCCUGAUGUCUUCGGAUGGAUUUGAGUAAGAGCGUAGCUGUGGGGACCCGAAAGAUGGUGAACUAUGCCUGAAUAGGGCGAAGCCAGAGGAAACUCUGGUGGAGGCUCGCAGCGGUUCUGACGUGCAAAUCGAUCGUCAAAUUUGGGUAUAGGGGCGAAAGACUAAUCGAACCAUCUGGUAGCUGGUUCCUGCCGA
rnacentral:rRNA from 1 species